AGCUGAUUAUUUUUUACUCGUAGUUUUAUAAGUACUGUUGAUGUCUGACUUAUAAAAGAGAAGAUAAACCAGGUAAACAACAGAACAUUACUUGUGAAAAAAAAACCAGUUAUUAAUUUUGUAAAUAGAUAUUUAAACUAGCUUGGGUAAAGAUACGUAAAAUGUAAUGUCGGUAAUAGGCGAUAAAAUGAUGGUACAAAAAGGAUCAUAAGUAAUAAAUAUUUUUUAAGAAUGAAGCACUUAUGUGUAUUUUUAAUUAUACUUCACAAUUGCUGUGUUUUCAUCUGUUUUUGUUACAUGUUUGCUUGUUAGCUCCUCGGCAGCUUAUAUAAUAAGAUGUAUUUCAAGUUGGAUAAACGUAUGGUUGUUUGCUCCAAAUAUCCUUGGAUCUAUCUAUGUAUCUAUCUAUCUAUCUAUUUAUCUAUCUAUCUAUCUAUCUAUCUAACUAUCUAUCUAUCUAUCUACGUAGUUAUUGAUCAGUUUUCAAUCAAACAAUUAAAAAGAUUAAAAGAAGUAAAGAAAAAAAUAAUACAAAACAACAUUUUACGUUCGUGACGUAUUCCACGAUGACCGUCUACGUAGUGUUAACAUGCCCUACUAAAAUUGUCACAAAAUGUAUAAAACAUCUUAAGGGUUCUUUUCUCGUAACGACAGUCAUAUAUCUUUGAAUAUUGAUUGAUUUUUUGUUGACAUGAAUUAAUUCGUGAUCGCUAGAAACUGUAACUAAACUGAGAGCAGGUUUUUCACGAACUUGUACGCGACGUUCUUCAUACUUCCGAUCAGAUAAAGUAAACAUGGUAAUGUUGU
rnacentral:sRNA from 1 species